AACGAACGCUGGCGGCAGGCUUAACACAUGCAAGUCGAGCGCCCCGCAAGGGGAGCGGCAGACGGGUGAGUAACGCGUGGGAAUCUACCCAUCACUACGGAACAACUCCGGGAAACUGGAGCUAAUACCGUAUACGUCCUUCGGGAGAAAGAUUUAUCGGUGAUGGAUGAGCCCGCGUUGGAUUAGCUAGUUGGUGGGGUAAUGGCCUACCAAGGCGACGAUCCAUAGCUGGUCUGAGAGGAUGAUCAGCCACACUGGGACUGAGACACGGCCCAGACUCCUACGGGAGGCAGCAGUGGGGAAUAUUGGACAAUGGGCGAAAGCCUGAUCCAGCCAUGCCGCGUGAGUGAUGACGGCCCUAGGGUUGUAAAGCUCUUUCGCAGGUGAAGAUAGUGACGGUAACCGGAGAAGAAGCCCCGGCUAACUUCGUGCCAGCCGCCGCAGUAACAC
rnacentral:rRNA from 1 species